GAUGAACGCUGGCGGCGUGCCUAAUACAUGCAAGUCGAGCGAACAGACGAGGAGCUUGCUCCUCUGACGUUAGCGGCGGACGGGUGAGUAACACGUGGAUAACCUACCUAUAAGACUGGGAUAACUUCGGGAAACCGGAGCUAAUACCGGAUAAUAUAUUGAACCGCAUGGUUCAAUAGUGAAAGACGGUUUUGCUGUCACUUAUAGAUGGAUCCGCGCCGCAUUAGCUAGUUGGUAAGGUAACGGCUUACCAAGGCGACGAUGCGUAGCCGACCUGAGAGGGGGAUCGGCCACACUGGAACUGAGACACGGUCCAGACUCCUACGGGAGGCAGCAGUAGGGAAUCUUCCGCAAUGGGCGAAAGCCUGACGGAGCAACGCCGCGUGAGUGAUGAAGGUCUUCGGAUCGUAAAACUCUGUUAUUAGGGAAGAACAAAUGUGUAAGUAACUAUGCACGUCUUGACGGUACCUAAGCAGAAAACCACGGCUAACUACGU
rnacentral:rRNA from 1 species